UCAUAUUUUUGAGACAAGUUGCAUAUUUCCAAAUUAGUUCUGUCAUUAAAAGUAAAAGUUCUCUCAGAGUAAAGUUAUAAAACAAAACAAACAUCUAUACUGUGACCAAAAUGUCUAAGUCCAACUCAAGAAAAACAUUGAUAGUUCUCAUUAGGAGUAUUUAUUUUUUACAUUAUACAAAUUCUCACUGUGAGACACAUAAAAAUGUAUAGCUUGAAACAUUUACUCAGACUUAUAAUUCAUGCACAAAAAUCUUGUUUAGAAAGCUAAGAAAAUAUAUUUCCAUUCCUGUUUUUUUUAAUUUAGCUUUAUUCAAAUAGUUCAAAAAUAGGUUAAAAUGAUUACAUGUGGAAUAAGAAUAAGGUUGGAAAAGUAAAAUUUUGAAAUGCUUUCUCUCUUUCAAUAAUAACUAUCAAGUAUCCAUUUUCUUCAAAGUGGAGUUGCAAUAGAUAGGUUCACAUUGCUUUUACAGACAUUAUUAAAAUAUAAUCUCAAACUCAAGGAAACUUUUAUGUAAAUGAUUUUUUUAAACCUCCAAAAAUUUAAAAUUCGACUCAAUUUAUUUUUAUUAGAUGGGUUCCUGGCUAGUUUCCACUUCCUGAGGCUUUUUAUUCUGAGUUUAUUUUUAAGACUAAUUAUCUUCACCUACAUAAACUUCCUGGAUUUCAGAAUACUUAAUUGGCUGGUCAAGUGUCUCUGCUAUCCAGAUGAAAGUUACCUAUCAUGCAUCCUCAAAGAGAGCCAAAAUUCAGACCAGAUGCCAUCUACUCAAGGGUACUGGAGGAACUGAAGCAUUAAAUUGUUGGCAGUAUUAGCCAACAUGUGUAGCUCAUCAUUGCAAACAAGCGUUCAGCCAAUGGAGUGGUGCACUGUCAUUGUGACCUGUAGAUAUUGGAAGAGUUCCAGAAAUGACAUAAGGUAUUAUGCAUUAAUACAGAGCAGGUGGCAGGCAGGUAGGCACCCAAGGGACAAGAUGUGGCUGAGCUUUGAAGAUAUCAGAUGUUGAAUAUAGAAAACUUGCUGCAUUUCUAAGCAAGGAUGAGACCCUCUGGGAACAUAAAGGGCACCCACAGUAGCAGUGAAAAAAAGACGAGAAAAUUAUAGAAAGCCUUCAACACCAGACAGAAGAAAGAAGAUCAAAAACUAGCUGGUCACAGCAUAAAGACCAUUGAAGACAUGACAAGAGCAGGCUCCAGUGUGAUAGGAGAUGAUGUGAGUGGAGGAGAGAUUCUGAGAUGAGAAAGUCCUAACGAACUCUACAGACAACUCUCUCCGGAGGUUCUGCUGUGAGGGUCUCCAGAAGUCUCCGGUUAAGCACCCUCACUGGGAUCAAUGGGACAGGAGUUCAGAGCAGAAAAAGACGAAGAUCAUUAUGUUAACCUAGUGGGAAUCUCUAAAACAAAACAAAACAAAACAAAACAAAACAAAACAGAUAAGAUAAUAAUGAGAAGAAGCAAAAGGAUUUGUGUAAACAUAAAAACAAUGGGAUUAAAGCAAUAAUGGCAAGUUUUAAUGCUAAUUACAACUGAAGAGAAAUUCUUAGGAAGAUUUGUUAUCUUAUGGGGAAUUAAAGAGUUGGGAAAAUUGUUGAGAAGAACUGGAACAUUUUCAGAACUCACCCUAAAGGAGAUACAAUUUUGACAGGUCUUGAGGGUUCUUGGCAGACCCUUAAAAGGCUCCCCUGGAUGCUGGAGUUGCUGACCACAUCAGAAUCAGGAUCAGCAGGGCUGUGGUCACACUAUGUAAGACAGAAUUUGUCACCUUGGCUUUGGGAUCUACUGAGAGAGUGAAAGAGGGGACCUGAGGUUUAGAUUACAGGGAGGUAUGCUUGGACACAGAUGAAAACUAACAGCUUCAAAUAUCCUUUAGUUAUUCAGUAUAGAAAUGCACGUGGGUACAAUGUGCAGUCCUCAGUUGAACUGAGGGCUGGACAUUGUUUGGGAGACCCAGCGCCUACACUCUGAUGCUGAUUUACUGACACAAGAAUCAAGAGACUCAAGUCCUAGAUCUGGAUUUACCACUGUCUAGUUUUGUACAGUUGAGUAAGUUAUCUCACAUCUCUGGAUCUCUUUUUGCUGCCCAGAAAAAAAGGCCACAGGAGGCCUAAAUGAUCUCUAAGGCUCCUUUUAACUCUAGAAGUCUAUGGUUACUGCAGAGAAUGAAAAUCAAUGGGAAAAAGAGCCCCACUGUAUCAAUAAAGUUUUACUUAUUUUCAAAAAAGACCCAUUUUAUGCCUAGACUGAUGUUUUAUAUGUUGAUUAUAAUAAUUUGAAGCAGAUUAAUGCCAUAGAUUUCAUAAAAUAGAAGAAUGAUGAUUCCUGAACCAGGGAAAGCUUGACAAUGGUGUGUUUCUAAGAGCAGUUGGAAAUCAGCAAGGGUAGUUAACUUUUUUAAAAAGCAAAUACAGCAUUUAUUUACUCAGUUUGCUCUGUGGAAACUUACCACUGCCAGCUUCAGCCACAGAACAUUCUAUAAGAAGCAGUUGUGGUUUCCAGAUGAGGGCAAGUGGAUAGUGUUUUCCAAGGCCGCUUCAGGGAGCAUCUGAGAUAUUUAGGCACAUUUUACAUCUUGGCACAAUGAACUUGUUAUGAAUUCUCUGUGCCUGGCUCUCUGUCUCCCGCCCCAAUUAUUACCUUCUGAUUUUGGCAAACUAGAACAACUGAGAACUUCUGUGGGAUGAAAGAGCUGGUUCCAGCGGUCUCGGCACGGCCUCAAGUCUUCCUUUGGGUAGAUUCUUUCAGAAUGAGGCUGGAAGUACCACUUGGGAGAUCUGAUUCUACCCUCCACAUUAAGCAGAAAUGCGGCCCUUGUAUCCUCAGCCCGAGUCUGGGUUUACCAUAUGAUGCUUAUGUUUUCUUAAGUGGAGCAAAGAUUGUGCCAAUAAAAAAUAAAGGAUACUCAUUUUAUGUAUGUUUAAAGCUGACGUGCACUUUGUAUGUGGCAUUUAGUAGGACCUUGCUGAAGUCACACUUUGGGAUAUGCAUACCUGUCAGUCUAGGCUUCUUAUUGAGAAUUUCCUAAAUAAUUGUCCUAUAACAUUUUUAAAUAAAAAAAGAUUAUUUGUCAUGAUUGCUGAAAAGCUAUUUUGGGGAUGGGGCAUAGCAUAUGAAGUCCUUUAAUUCACUUGGUGGUUAAAGUGUGGGACAAACACUGAAAGUAAUAUGAAUUCAGACUAAAACAAGAGAUGUGAGUCCAUUCUACUCUCUACUGGACACAUUCCAUUUACAGCAGUGCCUGACUUGAGUUUUCUGGGUCUCAGAGCCAUUGAAGAUACAGAGUUAUUUAACAGUAUUUUUUACUCAAUAUGCAUAAUGAUUAUUGACUAUAGUCUGAUUAAAUGAAAAUAUCAGUUUUCUAACAUGGAAGGUCUAUACAAUUAUUUUUUAAAGAAAUCCUUAUACUCGUAAAGUUGUUAGUUCCAGUUGCCAUAUUUAAAAUGUGUUAAUAUACAAACAAAUGGAAGACAAUGAGUGGGGUGACCUUACGUUAGUAUAGUAGAAAGAUCACUGGAUUUGUGUUAGAAUACUUACAGUCUGGUCUCAACUUUAUCAUCCAUUAUGGAUAUAAUCUUGAAUAAUUUACUUUAUUUCUAUAAAAUAGCAUCUGAAAAUGGAUAGCCUAUUCUGGUAGGCAAAAUUGUAAGAUGCCCUGGUGGCACCUGUGAAUAUGAGUGAAUAUUACUCUCACAAUUAUUGAUAUUAUGUUAUGUGGAAAGAUGAAGAGAAUGUAAUGAUGUAAUAAUGAUUAAUCUUGGGGAGAAGAUUGACAGGAAGAAAGCAUUAUGCGACUUCUAGGUGCAGACAAUGUUCUCUUUCUUGAUAUGUACUGGUUACUUGGGUGUGUACAGGUUAUGAAAAUUUAUGGAGUUAUGAUAUGUGUACUUUCUGGAUAUUUAUUGAGUUUCAGUGCAGCACUAUAGCAUUUAUAUACUUUACUUUUAAGAGCUAUUUUUCUUUUAAACUAUUAAAAAGUAAAAUUAUCUAGGGGUACCUGAGUGGCUCAGUCAGUUAAG